AGUGAACGCUGGCGGUAGGCCUAACACAUGCAAGUCGAACGGCAGCACAGGAGAGCUUGCUCUCUGGGUGGCGAGUGGCGGACGGGUGAGGAAUACAUCGGAAUCUACUUUUUCGUGGGGGAUAACGUAGGGAAACUUACGCUAAUACCGCAUACGACCUACGGGUGAAAGCAGGGGAUCUUCGGACCUUGCGCGAUUGAAUGAGCCGAUGUCGGAUUAGCUAGUUAGCGGGGUAAAGGCCCACCAAGGCGACGAUCCGUAGCUGGUCUGAGAGGAUGAUCAGCCACACUGGAACUGAGACACGGUCCAGACUCCUACGGGAGGCAGCAGUGGGGAAUAUUGGACAAUGGGCGCAAGCCUGAUCCAGCCAUACCGCGUGGGUGAAGAAGGCCUUCGGGUUGUAAAGCCCUUUUGUUGGGAAAGAAAUCCAGCUGGUUAAUACCCGGUUGGGAUGACGGUACCCGGAGAAGAAGCCCCGGCUAACUUCGUGCCAGCCGCCGCAGUAA
rnacentral:rRNA from 1 species